CUAUGUAUGGUCUCUGAUAUCAGACACAUGCAAAGAGUGCAGCAUCUUUGUCAUUAAUCUUUUCCAGACUUGGUUUUCCAUUGGAUUUGUGUGCUAUAAAAUUAGUUUGUUUAUGUGGCUAACAGAAGAAUUUUAUCUAACACAAUUAUUAGAUUUUAAUGCAUGUUUCCCAGUGGACAGUGAGAGCACCUUCUUGUUUUUGCAUGUUUUAAUUCAGUUGUUUAAAGUGCUUAUCAAAUUUAUGCUUACCUUUAAAACUACUGUACAGUUUAUACUAUGUAUCAGCACUGGGAGGAAUGAGUCUUAAUAUUUCAAAUGAAUGGAUACUUUGGGAGAAAAUUAGCCCUGGUACCAUAGUGACAGGUAGGUGUUUAUAGAUCUGGGGUGUGUAUUCUAUUCACAGUACUGUAAACUGAAGAAGACAGAGAUGAAAAGAUACAUUAUACUUUCGGUUUGUUUUAGUGGAAUUAGUUUCCUAACUGUACAAAAAAGUGUGAUGCCAAUUACAGUACAUUAAAUAAUCUUAGAUGUCUUAUUACAUGCAAAAUACCAAAACUAAAGCAAUAUAUGGAUUGUAUGCCUUUAAAAGUAACCUUGAGAUCCAAAUCUGAGAAAUAAAACUUAACUGGCUUUUGAAAAAUCCUUUGACACAUUUCAAGUUAAAAGCUCAGUGUAACUAAAUUAGCCAUUUUCAUUGUUUGCUUCAGAUAGAAAUAAAACCAAGAAAUUGAACAAUUGCUUUUAAAAUAUCUUAACAGGCUCAGGAGCGAUACCUAUAUAAAGUAAUUUUUCUUAAUGACAGGCGAAGCACUGCAAUGUUAUACUUGUGUAGGUUCUAGUGAUGAAGAAUGUAACAGACAAGGCACUCAGCAAUGUCCAGGGCUCUCAGAUGCAUGUGCAGUCAUCAGAGGUCAAGCAAGUGGUGUGAUGAAGUCCUGUUCAUUCAAAUCAUUCUGUGAACGGGCAAGAAGGGAUGGAUCCAAAGCACCUGGAGUGAGCGUUCAUUGUUGUUAUUCAAACAACUGUAAUGCCAAAAGCCGGGGUUCAAGAAACGCCAUCUCCAUAAGCCACUUAUCGCUCCUUGUCUCUGCAGCGUUGUGGCAUCUGCUGUUUAACUUGAAGUGAAAAACACAACAAAACUCCAGUAAACCAGUGCUACAAGGCUGCCUUUUUAGAAUAAAUGACUAACCAGUCCUAAGAAUGUUGCUCA
rnacentral:lncRNA from 1 species